GCUGCAGCUCUUGCAUAUCCCAACACGUGGAAGUAGCUUCACAAAUUACUAAAAUGAACUUUAAGCAUUUCCCCUCCUUCACCAAAAGUCUAUUUGUAUACACUUGUUUCAAAAUAAGGCUUUGCAAAUCAGCUCAGCAUGGUGUCCAGGUUCUUUGUAAUCUCAACAUGGUGUCAGAGUGGAGAAUAACUAUUGGGCACUGCAAACUUCAUUAUGGAAAGAGGGAGAACAGAAUCAAAUCUCCUAACUCUGCAGAGCAACCAACUACUGCUCCUGUUUCUGUAUAAGACAGCUCCAGCCACCUUUCAUCCUUCAGCUGAAUAGGUUUGGUCUACUUCAAGGCAGAGAUAAACCUGCAAAGCUCAGAAAUGCAGAUUGUCUUGAGAACACAAGAAGAAAGAAUUCAUUUCCGAUAACAAACUACAGCAUGCAAGAGACGGCUCUCAAUCUCCUGAAUCUCAGCUCUGGCAAACAAACAAUUGUCCUGAGUGAUCAGAUUUUCCUGACACAAGUUAAUUGACACUUUUGAGAGGCCUGAUGGAUAUUGCUUUUUUUGAAAGAACUUUAUGUCCAGAUCCAAGAAAUCAAAUGACUAUAAGAACUUAGCUUUUUGGACAUGGCUUCAUGCAAAGUUGUGCUCAUCCUAGGAUUUUCUGCCUGGCUGCGUACCAAGAAGGAAGGAGCUCCCUCUGAUAGACAAGAGAAUGUCUGCGGCUUCUGCCACAGGGCGAAUAAGCUGGGACUACUGUCUAUUUCUAUCUGCAAACUGGCAUGCCCUUUUGAAGCCUUGAUUGCUCUGCACUCUAGCCUCGGACCCAAGCAACGCUCACUUCCAUGUGCCAUGACUGGAGCUGGAAGAUACCUUCCUGGAAGAUACCUUCCUUCCAGGAAGGAUAUGCCUUCCUGGAAGACACCACUCAGCCUUUGCCCCCUCACCCCUUUCCCCUACUAAACUCUGGCGUUCUGCCACCCUGCUCCAAAGCAACCCCACCCCCUUCUCUUCUUUCCAUUCUCUCUAUCCUUUGUUAGGUUUUGCUAGUCAGCUUAAACACUGAAACCACAUGCAGCCAACAUAUUCAUUAGUUAGGAAUAUAUGCACUACACUGUGCAAAGCAACAUGAUUGACCUGAUUGAAUUACUUGAUCAGCAUUACCAAUUUGCCUUAAUAAAGCCCAUUAAACU